GAUGAACGCUGGCGGCGUGCUUAACACAUGCAAGUCGAACGAAGCAUUUGAGUGGAAGUUUUCGGACGGAAGCUUAAAUGACUUAGUGGCGGACGGGUGAGUAACGCGUGGGUAACCUGCCUUGUACAGGGGGAUAACAGUUAGAAAUGACUGCUAAUACCGCAUAAGCCUUUAGUGCCGCAUGGCACAGAAGGAAAAGAUUUAUCGGUACAAGAUGGACCCGCGUCUGAUUAGCUAGUUGGUGAGGUAACGGCCCACCAAGGCGACGAUCAGUAGCUGGUCUGAGAGGACGACCAGCCACACUGGAACUGAGACACGGUCCAGACACCUACGGGAGGCAG
rnacentral:rRNA from 1 species